rnacentral:rRNA from 1 species
UUCAGAUGAGAGUGGCGGAAGGGCGAGUAACGCGUGGGCAAGCUGCCCUCGAGCCCGGGACAACCCCGCGAAAGCGGGGCUAAUACCGGAUGUGUUCUCCCAGGGCAUCCUGGGAAGAAUAAAGGUGGGGAUCUUUCGGGACCUGCCGCUGGAGGAGGUGCCCGCGUGCCAUCAGCUUGUUGGUGAGGUAAUGGCUCACCAAGGCUUACGGCUAGCGGGUCUGAGAGGAUGGCCCGCCGCACUGGGACUGAGACACUGCCCAGACUCCUACGGGAGGCUGCAGUCGAGGAUCAUUCGCAAUGCGCGAAAGCGUGACGAUGCGACGCUGCGUGGAGGAUGACGGCCCUAGGGUUGUAAACUCCUGUCAUGAGGGAGAAGCCGGCGACGGGUUAAUAACCCGCCGGCCCGAUAGUACCUCAAGAGGAAGCCACGGCUAACUCUGUGCCAGCAGCCGCGGUAAUACAGAGGUGGCUAGCGUUGUUCGGAUUUACUGGGCGUAAAGCGUGCGUAGGCGGUCGAGUAAGUCGGAUGUGAAAGCCCGGGGCCCAACCCCGGAAUUGCGUCCGAAACUGCCCGACUUGAGUGCACGAUGGGACAGGGGAAUUCAUGGGAGUAGCGGUGAAAUGCGUUGAUAUCGUGAAGAACACCGGUUGCGAAGGCGCCUCUCCGGAAUGCAACUGACGCUG